rnacentral:rRNA from 1 species
AGCUGCAGAAGAAGCACCGGCUAACUCCGUGCCAGCAGCCGCGGUAAUACGGAGGGUGCGAGCGUUAAUUCGGAAUUACUGGGCGUAAAGCGCAUGCAGGUGGUUUUGUUUAAGUCAGAUGUGAAAGCCCGGGGCUCAACCUCGGAAUUGUCAUUUGAAACUGGCAAACUAGAGUACUGUAGAGGGGGUAGAAUUUCAGGUGUAGCGGUGAAAUGCGUAGAGAUCUGAAGGAAUACCGGUGGCGAAGGCGGCCCCCUGGACAGAUACUGACACUCAGAUGCGAAAGCGUGGGGAGCAAACAGGAUUAGAUACCCUGGUAG